UGCUCCCAAUCUUUCAAUUGACUUGCAUAGCGAAUUGUCUGCAAAAAUCUUACAAAUAGUUAACACUUAUAACUGAAAUAAAUAAAAACAAUUCGUUAUGUUAUUGACUAACGAUGAACAUAAAAUAAACAAAAUAAAGUAUUGUCUUGGUGAAAAAGUUUGGUGUUGAAUCUUGCCCCGAAUCAUUGUCAAAUCUUAUGUUUAUGAUACCUAUAGUAGAAAGUGCUGUUUGUAUUUCUGUUUGCAGGUGGUAAAAUGGAUUCCAAUACAGAAUCAAACUGUCGACGAAACAUACUCCAAUACGUGGACCUAUAAGAAAUAACCACUCUGGGAGUUUUGAGGAUGAUACCACCUGUAUUGAACGAAAUAUCCAAUUUAAGAGGGUAAUGGUCAGAAAAUGAGGAACUACUGGUUAUUCUGUAGUUGCCUGCAUCUGUAUCUAUAAGAUUUUGGGCAGAAAGUGAUCCAAAUAAGAUGGUCCAUUAGGAUAUGAAGGAGAAGAGUCACAUAUUCGAGUAACGUCUGUGGCAUUAUCAAGCAACCAAUUGUAAAGUGUCCUUCCGUUGGUGUUGUCCAUUAUAUCACCCCAUGUCGUGUGCCUAGAAUUAUGAUCUCCUCCAAAAAUAAAUCCAUCAUAAUUAUUAGUAAACUGCAGACAAUUAUUUAGACCAUUGAUUAACUGUUGUGUGUUGAAAUUGGUUGAGAUAUACAGUGAACCUAGUAAAAA